GUUAACACAAAAUGCUAACAACCAGCUGACCAAUAUCUGGAUUAAGCACAAAAAUUGUUGUGCCUCCCGUUUCUAACAGAUGUAGAAAUUUCAUGAAUGAUAAAGCCUCUAAGUCAAAUUCAAUUGAGGAGCAAAUUCACCAAAGAAAUAUGUAUAAUUUUUCAUUUUUUAAAUUCAAAUGAAUUAUUAUGAACUUUGUAACCUUGUUUAUGACAAGGAAAAGGAAAUGUAAUAUAGCAACCUAAGGGUGAGGGCUGUCAUAUGCAGCAGCUUUCUUGUGGAGAUUGUUGCUACAUGGAUGGGUAACGAUUCUGCUAACCAUCCACACCUUGGUGGUUUUUUAGGUGACUUACCAAAUCUGGUAGGCUAAUUACCAACUCUCUAUCUAGGGUUUCCUUAGUGUAAAAUAAUGACUUGUACACCUGCGUUUUUCCCGUUUUGGAUUAGUCUCCUCCUUGUGAUGAAUCUUGAGUGUGCCUCUCUGAUAGUCACUUUGCUAUCGCAUGAAAAUGAACUUGGAAGUAGUCUACUUUAACUCUUAUUUAUUUUCAGGUCCCAUGGAUAUUCGCUACUCUAACCCCUUAUCUGGAAGAAAACGUCAAUUUUCUGUCUUGGAAACUGAUCCAAUGUAUGGAGACUCAAACAGAUAUCCACACUCCCGAUUGGAUGCUCCUUGUUACUGUUAGUAUUAUCGUCAUGUUCUUUUAUGCUUUGUGUCACCAUAGCUUUUUGUUGCUUCUUUCAGUCACAAUUUAAUUCCUCCUAGUGGUCUUACAAACCCCAUAGCUUAUCAUCAACAGCAUAGUGGGUACCCUUCUGGAUCACUUUAUGGAGCCAGAAAUUAUGCAAGCAAUGCUGAGUUUGCAGGUGCAACACUGGGGGCUGGAGCUAUCUUAGUAAACCCCUGGAAUAUCCCAGAGGUUGCUUCUGCAAUAUCCUAUGCAUUAAAUAUGCCAAGUGAAGAAAGGGAAAAGAGGCACCAACUUAAUUUCAUGCAUGUGACAACUCAUACUGCCCACGAGUGGGCAAAGAUGUUUGUAAGUGAGCUUGAAGAAACUGUUGUUGAAGCUCAACUACCGCAACACAAUUAUGGUCACAGCCAUCCUUCCUGUCAAUGUUGCAAUCGAGCAAUAUGUGAAAUCUAUUCAUAUUUCGAGCCAGAGCCUCGUGUGAAACCUUUAAGGGCAUCAAGAAGUAAGGGCAGUAGACGAAGAAAUAUUGGCUUCUCCAUGCAUUCAUAGUAGAAUUUUUUCAUAGUGGAUUUGUAUUGAAAUUGAAUGUUAAUUUGUAUGUUUUUUUACUACUGAAGUAAGACAA